UGUAAGCACAUGAUUCCAGUAGGGACAGGAAGGUACUACAGUUUUGGGAGCCUGGGGACAGCUGCAUAGAAGGCAGGAUUCAAUAUGUAAGUGAGAGAGACAUUUGGAGCAUGAAGAGCUGGGCUUCAGGCAGUUGUCUUUAAACAAGAUCGGGGUGGAUCUUCAGAAACAAGGGGCUUGUGCAUGGAGACAUUAGGCCUUCACAUUGUCACUUGUUUCCCCCAAUGUCUUGCCUCCAAUGGGAUCCCUUCACCUGCAUCUGUUCCUAGAACAGCAGAAAGGAGAUGCCUAAUACUCCUCUAAUGACAAAAGUUCUGACUGCCUUCCAGCUACUAAUCCCUGCAGACCCAUUGCCUGGCAACUGCAACAGCAUAAGAGAUCAAUGCCAGGAGAACAGUUCAGAAAACAAAUUCCUUUCCAUCCAAGACAACGCAGUUGGAGGCAUCCAACAAACCCAAGCUUUGUGUCUUUCAGCCAGUGAGAAAAUGCAAAUUACUGGCAAACAUAAUGCAGUACUCACGGAUGGACCAACACGGCCUACUUCACCAGGAAGUCCUGCUACACCAGGGGGACCCUACAAUAACCAAGUAAAAGAAAGAAAUAUGUAUAAAUUAUUUACAAUCAUCUGUAUGAUAGAGAUCUAAGUACACAGGCAAAUAUCUUCCCAAAGCAACAGGAGAUAAAUUAUGCCCUCAGAAACACAUCUGUACACCCAAAGGACUAAAAUGGUCUAAAAUGUUAGUUGUAAAAAUAUGUAUGAAUAGAUACAGAACAUCAGGGCCAAAAUUAUUAUUCUGUCUUUUCAUUUUAUUACUUUGAUUUGUUAUGCGAUCGCAGACAGUAGAUUGUAUAAAAUGAUACUUACUGCUGGUCCAAGAAUCCCCUUACCCUGAAAAAAGAAAAAUGUGGUUAGCAAAUAUUUUUGUUUUCUGACAUUUAAUCUUGUUGGGUGCCAAGAAUAGGAUCAUUUAGGGUGAUCAAACACAAAAUUGUGACAAUUCCUUCAAUGAAUGAAUAUUAAAACAUUACUAUCCUGACAUGUGAUAUUGCUGAGUAGGUAUUUUGGCAAUUUUAACUGAUAUUCAACAUCUAGUAUAAAGAUUAGCAUGAGAUACUUAAUAUCAGCAGGCAAGUACAGUAAUUUUGUUUGACUAAACUAACCUGCAGUACAAAAAUAUGUGCUGGCAAAGGAAUGAAGAAACUAAUACUAAUAGGUUUAGCUGGUUAUCAAGCAUUGAAACCUAUGCCAAAAGAUACACCUUGAUGACACAUGAAGGAAGUGGUCAUUUCCUUCUCCAUGAGUAGUGGUUAAUAAUAAAGUAGAAAAAAAUUCAAUUAUUUCAAGGCCUUCUUAAGUCCCUUAAAGCCACUAAACCACUGCUUCUUGCUGAGCAGGAGAAGCAACGAGCUGCUCCUGUUUACAUUUACUAUCAGUGUUGUUCUUGAUUAUUUUAAUCAGCUAUGUCCUAGCAACAAAUGCUGUUUUUCCUGUUAGGUAGAAUACAUACUCCAUAGCAAGGUUCGGCCCCAAUCCUGUAAGACUUAAGCAUAUGCCUAACUUUAUGCAAGUGAAUAGUGCCAAUGAAGUCACAGAUUUAUUUGGGUUUUAGACCCCAUUGGGAGUUGGGCAUCUGAGUGUUAAAGAUAAGAACACUUCU